GACAGAGGUGCCGAGCGUUAGGCGGAAUCACUGGGCUUAAAGCGUGUGUAGGCGGAUGCCUAAGUACCUUGUGAAAUCCCACGGCUUAACCGUGGAACUGCUCGGUAUACUGCGAGUCUUGAGCCACUUAGGGGCUACCGGAACAAAUGGUGGAGCGGUGAAAUGCGUAGAUAUCAUUUGGAACGCCAAUGGUGAAAACAGGUAGCUGGGAGUGUGCUGACGCUGAGACACGAAAGCCAGGGGAGCAAACGGG
rnacentral:rRNA from 1 species